CAGAUCACGUAGGGUGUUAGUCGUUGAACAAACGAACCGUUGACAGCUGUUGCACCGUCGGGGUACCCUGAUCCAACAUCGAGGUCGUAGAUCUUCUUGUUGAUAUGGACUCUUUGAGAAGGUGGCGCUGUUAUCCCUGGGGUAGCUUGUUUCGUUAAUCAGUGUGACUGGGUCGUGGUAUAGACUUGUGGGUCGGUGGCGGCAGUGGGGUUAAUUUUUCCUAAAGUUGUCCCAACUGAAGUUAUUGCUUAUUGGUGUAAGUAAUUCACUAAAGUUCCGCAGGGUCUUUUUGUCUUGCUUGGUUAUGUCAGCUUUUGUACUGACAGUUCAGUUUCAUUGGCUUGCCCUAGGAGACAGGUCUUCUCUCAUGUUGCCUUUCAUACGGGUCCUCAUUUAGGGGACAAGUGAUUGUGCUACCUUUGCACGGUUUUGGUGCCGCGGCCGUUUAGAUACUCCACAGGGCAGGCGA
rnacentral:rRNA from 1 species